UUUGCUCUUCAUCUGCAUCUGCACAUUUGUGGAUGCCUGUGAUCACAGCAGCAGGAGUUACACACAGGCUACACUGAUGGGGGGAACCAUGCCCAGAGCAGAAGAGAAUGGGAAGAAAUGGCUCAUGAUCCAUGGUUUUAGUGUCUCUGCUUUCCAAGAAAGAGGGUUCAUCAUCACUCCUGCACAGGAAAUCAGUCAAAAGUGAAACCUGGGCUUGAAGUACUGAAAAAACAGUACAGAAAUGGAGAGCUUACAAAAAACCAGAGUGGUGAAUUUUCUAUCAGUGCUAGACUUCACACUGGUAUCUGAAAGACUCCACUCGUAUGCUUUGGCACCUCAUUCUUGAGAUUUUUGUCUCAAAAUGCCCUCCUGAUAAGAUUCAAGAUCCUGACAUGUAAAACGAGACAAAGAAGAUGGAUGUGGGGGGCUGGUGAUUUCCAGCAAUAAAUCUUGGUGCUACAUGAAAGUGUUAAGUAAAA